UACAGAGGGGGCUAGCGUUGUUCGGAAUUACUGGGCGUAAAGGGCGCGUAGGUGGCCUGUUAAGUCGAACGUGAAAUCCCCGGGCUCAACCCGGGAACUGCGUCCGAGACUGGCAGGCUCGAGUUCGGGAGAGGAUGGUGGAAUUCCCAGUGUAGAGGUGAAAUUCGUAGAUAUUGGGAAGAACACCGAUGGCGAAGGCAGCCAUCUGGACCGACACUGACGCUGAGGCGCGAAAGCGUGGGGAGCAAACAGG
rnacentral:rRNA from 1 species